GGACCAAGGAGUCUAGCAUGUGCGCGAGUCAUUGGGACUCUAACGAAACCUAAAGGCGUAAUGAAAGUAAAGGCCCGCCUAGCGCGGGCCGAGGGAGGAUGGGUGUCCCCGAGGGGACGCCUCGCACUCCCAGGGCGUCUCGUUCUCAUUGCGAGAAGAGGCGCACCAAGAGCGUACACGCUGGGACCCGAAAGAUGGUGAACUAUGCCUGGUCAGGACGAAGUCAGGGGAAACCCUGAUGGAGGUCCGUAGCGAUUCUGACGUGCAAAUCGAUCGUCGGAACUGGGUAUAGGGGCGAAAGACUAAUCGAACCAUCUAGUAGCUGGUUCCCUCCGAAGUUUCCCUCAGGAUAGCUGGCGCUCGCUUCUCGCGAGUCUCAUUCGGUAAAGCGAAUGAUUAGAGGCAUUGGGGUCGAAACGGCCUCAACCUAUUCUCAAACUUUAAAUGGGUGAGAUCUCCGGCUUGCUUGAACUGUGAAGCCGCGAGAUAUCGGAUCAGAGUGCCAAGUGGGCCACUUUUGGUAAGCAGAACUGGCGCUGUGGGAUGAACCAAACGCUGAGUUAAAGCGCCUAAAUCGACGCUUAUGGGAUACCAUGAAAGGCGUUGGUAACUUAAGACAGCAGGACGGUGGCCAUGGAAGUCGGA
rnacentral:rRNA from 1 species